GCUGGGCGCGGUGGCGCCUGCCUGUAGUCCCAGCUACAUGGGAGACUGAGGUGCCAGGAUCGCUUGAGGCAAGGAGUUCUGGGCUGUAGUGCUCUAUGCGCAUCACGUGUCCUCACUAAGUUCUGCAUCAAUAUGGUGACCUCCCAGAGCGGAAGACCACCAGGUUGCCUAAGGAAGAGUGAACUGGCCCAGGUCGGAAACGUAGCAGGUCAAAACUCCCAUGCUGUUCAGUAGUGGGAUUGCACCUGUGAAUAGCCACUGCAUGCCAGCUCAGGCAACAUAGCGAGACCCCAUCUCAA
ensembl:misc_RNA Metazoa_SRP Metazoan signal recognition particle RNA